rnacentral:rRNA from 1 species
AACGAACGCUGGCGGCAGUCUUAACACAUGCAAGUCGAGCGCCCCGCAAGGGGAGCGGCAGACGGGUGAGUAACGCGUGGGAAUCUACCCAUCUCUACGGAAUAACGCAUGGAAACGUGUGCUAAUACCGUAUGCGUCCUUCGGGAGAAAGAUUUAUCGGAGAUGGAUGAGCCCGCGUUGGAUUAGCUAGUUGGUGGGGUAAAGGCCUACCAAGGCGACGAUCCAUAGCUGGUCUGAGAGGAUGAUCAGCCACACUGGGACUGAGAAACGGCCCAGACUACUACGGGAGGCAGCAGUGGGGAAUAUUGGACAAUGGGCGCAAGCCUGUUCCAGCCAUGCCGCGUGAGUGAGGAAGGCCCUAGGGUUGUAAAGCUCUUUCACAGAUGAAGAUAAUGACGGUAACCGGAGAAGAAGCCCCGGCUAACUUCGUGCCAGCCGCCGCCGUAACAC